GGACGAACGCUGGCGGCGUGCUUACCCCAUGCAAGUCGAACGGAAAGGCGCUGCUUUUGUGGGGUGCUCGAGUGGCGAACGGGUGAGUAACACGUGAGUAACCUGCCCUUGACUUUGGGAUAACUUCAGGAAACUGGGGCUAAUACCGGAUAGGAGCUCCUGCUGCAUGGUGGGGGUUGGAAAGUUUCGGCGGUUGGGGAUGGACUCGCGGCUUAUCAGCUUGUUGGUGGGGUAGUGGCUUACCAAGGCUUUGACGGGUAGCCGGCCUGAGAGGGUGACCGGCCACAUUGGGACUGAGAUACGGCCCAGACUCCUACGGGAGGCAGCAGUGGGGAAUAUUGCACAAUGGGCGGAAGCCUGAUGCAGCAACGCCGCGUGCGGGAUGACGGCCUUCGGGUUGUAAACCGCUUUCGCCUGUGACGAAGCGUGAGUGACGGUAAUGGGUAAAGAAGCACCGGCUAACUACGUG
rnacentral:rRNA from 1 species